rnacentral:lncRNA from 10 species
AACACUCUCACUUCCUCAGCCCACCUUUUUUUUUCUUAAAGUGAAAGCAAGUUUAUUAAGAAAGUAAAGGAAUAAAAGAAUGGCUACUCCAUAGACAGAGCAGUUACCAAACACCAUUUUGUAUUUUUUUCUUUAUUUUUUUAACCUUAGGAUUUGUUUUUUUAAUUUUUUAUUUCCAUAGGUUUUUGGGGGGGAGGGGAAUAGGUGGCAUUUGGUUACAUGAGUAAGCUCUUUAGCAUUGAUUUAUGAGAUUUUUAUCUAUUAUAUUACUUCUUUUUAAAUUUUUCCUCUUUCUUCAUUAUAUUUGCCAAAAGUUUUCUAUUUUCAAAGAAACAGCUUUUGAUUGAUAUACCAUAAUAACUCUAGUAUUUUCUGGCUUUGCAAGCAGGGAAUUCAACAUCCUUCUUCGACAACUGGGAUGGGAGCUGCCAUGUGGCCUGGGCCCAGCCAUGAGAAAGCUGAGAACAUCCACUUGGACAACUCCUCCCCUGGCAGAGGGAGCUGAAAGCGUGGAUGGAGUGACUGCCAUCUGGUGGGCGUGUGGGAGCCAGGGUGCAUGGGAUGGGAGGCGCUGCCUCUUU